rnacentral:rRNA from 1 species
AUUGAACGCUGGCGGCAGGCCUAACACAUGCAAGUCGAACGAGUGGCGGACGGGUGAGUAAUGUCUGGGAAACUGCCCGAUGGAGGGGGAUCACUACUGGAAACGGUCGCUAAUCCCGCAUACCAUCGGAUGUGCCCAGCUGGGAUUAGCUAGUAGGUGGGGUAAUGGCUCACCUAGGCGACGAUCCCUAGCUGGUCUGAGAGGAUGACCAGCCACACUGGAACUGAGACAAGGUCAAGACUCCUAGGGGAGGCAGCAGUGGGGAAUAUUGCACAAUGGGCGCAAGCCUGAUGCAGCCAUGCCGCGUGUAUGAAGAAGGCCUUCGGGUUGUAAAGUACUUUCAGCGAGGAGGCGUUACUCGCAGAAGAAGCACCGGCUAACUCCGUGCCAGCAGCCGCGGUAAUAC